GACGUAGGGGGCAAGCGUUGUCCGGAAUUACUGGGCGUAAAGAGCACGUAGGCGGGAGCUUGCGUUGGAGGGGAAAUCUCGGGGCUCAACUCUGGAGCUGUCUCGGAUACGGGCCGUCUUGAGGGUAAGAGAGGCGAGUGGAAUUCCCGGUGUAGCGGUGAAAUGCGUAGAUAUCCGGAGGAACACCAGUGGCGAAGGCGACUCUCUGGCUUACUGCUGACGCUGAGAAGCGAAAGCGUGGGGAGCAAACAGG
rnacentral:rRNA from 1 species